rnacentral:rRNA from 1 species
AUGCACAUAUUGUGAGCUCGAUGAGUAGGGCGGGACACGUGGUAUCCUGUCUGAAUAUGGGGGGACCAUCCUCCAAGGCUAAAUACUCCUGACUGACCGAUAGUGAACCAGUACCGUGAGGGAAAGGCGAAAAGAACCCCGGCGAGGGGAGUGAAAAAGAACCUGAAACCGUGUACGUACAAGCAGUGGGAGCACGCUUAGGCGUGUGACUGCGUACCUUUUGUAUAAUGGGUCAGCGACUUAUAUUCUGUAGCAAGGUUAACCGAAUAGGGGAGCCGAAGGGAAACCGAGUCUUAACUGGGCGUUAAGUUGCAGGGUAUAGACCCGAAACCCGGUGAUCUAGCCAUGGGCAGGUUGAAGGUUGGGUAACACUAACUGGAGGACCGAACCGACUAAUGUUGAAAAAUUAGCGGAUGACUUGUGGCUGGGGGUGAAAGGCCAAUCAAACCGGGAGAUAGCUGGUUCUCCCCGAAAGCUAUUUAGG